GAUGAACGCUGGCGGCGUGCUUAACACAUGCAAGUCGAACGGGAAAUAUUUCAUUGAGACUUCGGUGGAUUUGAUUUAUUUCUAGUGGCGGACGGGGGAGUAACGCGUGGGUAACCUGCCUUAUACAGGGGGAUAACAGUCAGAAAUGGCUGCUAAUACCGCAUCAGCGCACAGAGCUGCAUGGCUCAGUGUGAAAAACUCCGGUGGUAUAAGAUGGACCCGCGUUGGAUUAGCUAGUUGGUGGGGUAACGGCCCACCAAGGCGACGAUCCAUAGCCGGCCUGAGAGGGUGAACGGCCACAUUGGGACUGAGACACGGCCCAGACUCCUACGGGAGGCAGCAGUGGGGAAUAUUGCACAAUGGGGGAAACCCUGAUGCAGCGACGCCGCGUGAAGGAAGAAGUAGCUCGGUAUGUAAACUUCUAUCAGCAGGGAAGAUAGUGACGGUACCUGACGAAGAAGCCCCGGCUAACUACGUG
rnacentral:rRNA from 1 species